rnacentral:rRNA from 1 species
AUGAACGCUAGCUACAGGCUUAACACAUGCAAGUCGAGGGGCAGCAUGGUCUUAGCUUGCUAAGGCCGAUGGCGACCGGCGCACGGGUGAGUAACACGUAUCCAACCUGCCGUCUACUCUUGGACAGCCUUCUGAAAGGAAGAUUAAUACAAGAUGGCAUCAUGAGUCCGCAUGUUCACAUGAUUAAAGGUAUUCCGGUAGACGAUGGGGAUGCGUUCCAUUAGAUAGUAGGCGGGGUAACGGCCCACCUAGUCUUCGAUGGAUAGGGGUUCUGAGAGGAAGGUCCCCCACAUUGGAACUGAGACACGGUCCAAACUCCUACGGGAGGCAGCAGUGAGGAAUAUUGGUCAAUGGGCGAGAGCCUGAACCAGCCAAGUAGCGUGAAGGAUGACUGCCCUAUGGGUUGUAAACUUCUUUUAUAAAGGAAUAAAGUCGGGUAUGGAUACCCGUUUGCAUGUACUUUAUGAAUAAGGAUCGGCUAACUCCGUGCCAGCAGCCGCGGUAAUACGGAGGAUCCGAGCGUUAUCCGGAUUUAUUGGGUUUAAAGGGAGCGUAGAUGGAUGUUUAAGUCAGUUGUGAAAGUUUGCGGCUCAACCGUAAAAUUGCAGUUGAUACUGGAUAUCUUGAGUGCAGUUGAGGCAGGCGGAAUUCGUGGUGUAGCGGUGAAAUGCUUAGAUAUCACGAAGAACUCCGAUUGCGAAGGCAGCCUGCUAAGCUGCAACUGACAUUGAGGCUCGAAAGUGUGGGUAUCAAACAGGAUUAGAUACCCUGGUAGUCCACACGGUAAACGAUGAAUACUCGCUGUUUGCGAUAUACUGCAAGCGGCCAAGCGAAAGCGUUAAGUAUUCCACCUGGGGAGUACGCCGGCAACGGUGAAACUCAAAGGAAUUGACGGGGGCCCGCACAAGCGGAGGAACAUGUGGUUUAAUUCGAUGAUACGCGAGGAACCUUACCCGGGCUUAAAUUGCAGAUGAAUUACGGUGAAAGCCGUAAGCCGCAAGGCAUCUGUGAAGGUGCUGCAUGGUUGUCGUCAGCUCGUGCCGUGAGGUGUCGGCUUAAGUGCCAUAACGAGCGCAACCCUUGUUGUCAGUUACUAACAGGUUCCGCUGAGGACUCUGACAAGACUGCCAUCGUAAGAUGUGAGGAAGGUGGGGAUGACGUCAAAUCAGCACGGCCCUUACGUCCGGGGCUACACACGUGUUACAAUGGGGGGUACAGAGGGCCGCUACCACGCGAGUGGAUGCCAAUCCCAAAAACCUCUCUCAGUUCGGACUGGAGUCUGCAACCCGACUCCACGAAGCUGGAUUCGCUAGUAAUCGCGCAUCAGCCACGGCGCGGUGAAUACGUUCCCGGGCCUUGUACACACCGCCCGUCACACCAUGAGAGUUGGGAAUACCCGAAGCCUGUGAGCCAACUGUAAAGAGGCAGCAGUCGAAGGUAGAAUCAAUGAUUGGGGUG